rnacentral:rRNA from 1 species
UACGUACGUGGUGGCCGCAGGGGGGAAUUUUGACACAUGGGUGCAAGCGUGCAUGGAGACAUGCCGUGUGAGUGAUGAAGGCUUUAGGGUAGGAAAACUCUUUGGCCAGGGUCGAUAGUGGCAGUUCUUGUUAAAGAAACCCCGGGUUAAUUCGUUCCCACCAGCGGGGUUAUUCGGGGGGGGUCAGGGUUUUUCGGAAUUCAUGGGGUUAAAGGGUUGGUUGGGGGAUUAGAAAAUUGGGGGUGAAAUCCCAGGGCUUAACCGAGGAAAUGCCUUCAAAUAUUGUUGUUUAGAGUUCGAGAGAGGGUGAGUGGAAUUCCAACUGUAGAGGUGAAAUUCGUAGAUUUUGGGAGGAACCCCAGUGGGGAAGGGGGCUCUCUGGCUCCGAUAAUGACGGUGAGGUCCGAAAAGUGUGGGGAGCAAACCGGGUUAGAUCCCCUGGUUGUCCCCCCCCUAAACGGUGAAUUCCAGACUUCGGGGGUCUUACCCUUGAGUGUCCCAGGUAANCGCAUAAGCAUCCGC